rnacentral:lncRNA from 1 species
CUCGACUCCGGCUUCGGGCGGUCUUCCCUGUGCUCGGCGUUUGGUCUGGAAAGAUUCUCCCUGCGCCUGGUCUGGCCUGUGGGGCUGGGUGUCGCCACAAAAUUACUGAAGUCUACAUCUUGCAAAUUUGAGUAGCACUCCAAGGCUUCAGCAAAGUGGACACUGGUCUCUUGCCACCCAAGCUCUACAGCAAGAGGGAAAGAAAAUAUAAGCACUUUUUCAUGGAGGAGGCUAUCAGAAGUUGAAAUCAUACUAACUCAAGCAAUGUGCAUUUUGAGAAGAAUGGCUUGCAACAGGAUUCCAUAUGAAGAGCCUGCCCCUAUCAUUCUCUCAGGCAGAGUGCAGAGGCAAGGAGAAGGCAAGGUAGAAGACACGUCGGCUUUGUUAUUAUCAGAAGUGAAGGCAUGAGAUGGAAAAUGGUACUCUGUAAAUGAAGGGUUAAAAAAUACAUACCCUGUAAAAAACAAAUUCCAAUAGGAAGCAUGUCAUCAACACACUUUGAAAAUCAGAUUAUACUUCAGUCUUUUUCUUAUUUAAAAUAAUCUUACUCAGAAUUGAAAACAUAUACUGUACUUGAGGAUGAACUAAGUUAAAGGCCAAGGAAAAACUAAAAAACAUACAGCAUUGCACAAUUAUGAAUUGGUAUUGGUUUUAUUUUAAAUUCUAUUUUAUAUUUCUCUUAUUACAACACAAAUAGAUUAAAAAUUC